rnacentral:rRNA from 2 species
GGAAAGUUGAAAAGAACUUUGAAGAGAGAGUUCAACAGUACGUGAAACCGCCUAGAGGUAAACGGGUGGAUCCGCAAAGUCGGCCCGCGGAAUUCAGCUCGGAGGCACGGCGCCGGUUGGGGGUCGGAGAUCUGAACGGACUCCUCUCCAGCCUGUUUUGUCGUCGUGUCGCCGUGUGCACUUUCCGCGGGCAGAGCGCCACGACCGGUUCUCGAGCGGUCAGAAGGCGGCGAGCAAGGUGGGUGCCCGCUUCGGCGGCCACUUCUUAUAGGCUCGCCUGUCCCGAUCCGCUUGGGGACCGAGGAGCCGCCGCCGGUGUAGGCCGCUUCGCUCUCCUGGGAGGUUCGACUGGCAGAGACUGGGCAACCGUGUCUGCCGACCGCCGCCUUUGGACGGACGAGGUGGGCCCGCCGGCACAGGGUCAGUGGCACAUCGGUCGGCCCUCCACCCGACCCGUCUUGAAACACGGACCAAGGAGUCUAACAUGCGCGCAAGUCGUUGGGCAGUACGAAACCCGAAGGCGAAGUGAAAGCAAGGGCCGUCUCUGACGCGCCUAGGUGGGAUCCCGGUCCCCUCGCUUGGGGCUGGGCGCACCACCGGCCCGUCUCGUCCGCGUUGUCGGUGAGGCGGAGCAGGAGCGUGCACGUUGGGACCCGAAAGAUGGUGAACUAUGCCUGAGUAGGACGAAGCCAGAG